rnacentral:lncRNA from 1 species
UAUUAGGAGUGUCUUUGGACUACACAGUUCCGAAUUCCCUAGAGAUUGUUUUUCCUGUAGCAACGAUAACACGAUCCAUGAAAUAAAACACCUAUUUUUUAGGGGUUUUCUUUUUCUCUACAUUUAAUUUUUUCCUCCUAGCUAGUUUAGGCUAGGAAGAUAAUAGAGUGGAUCGCAGCAUAAAUAUGUCUGUUGUUUUUAUCCAUCUAUGUGGUGAAACAUCCACGAAGGCAUUACCGGAUUCGAAAAUUGAUUAUGGUGUUGCGUCGCGCGGCCUCCGUUUUCUCCUUCAACUGGGUAAAUAUUCCCGCCGCUGCGUACAAAUUCACAUCCAAAAACAUGUCUUCAAUCAAAUUACUCUUAAUUCUCUCUCUUAAUUUUUCAGAAAUCAUGAUUGGAUGGAUACCUGAUGUUCAAGAUUCCCAUAGUCUGUGGGCGAUCAAUACCAGAAGAGUUCAAGUCAUGAUGGUUUUGCUGUUGCUCCAUCGCCGCCACCGCCGCCGCCGCCGCCGUUGUCCUUCCCGCCAUCUCUUUCUCCCUCUCUUUGA